AAGCUUAGGUUAACGUAGACCAAGAGCCUUCAAAGCUUUAAGUAGGAGUUAAAAUCCCCUAGCUUC
rnacentral:tRNA from 1 species